UACAGAGGGUGCGAGCGUUAAUCGGAAUUACUGGGCGUAAAGCGCACGUAGGUGGCGACGUAAGUCGGGUGUGAAAGCCCCGGGCUCAACCUGGGAAUUGCAUUCGAGACUGCAUUGCUGGAGUACGGAAGAGGAAGGCGGAAUUCCCGGUGUAGCGGUGAAACGCGUAGAUAUCGGGAGGAACAUCAGUGGCGAAGGCGGCCUUCUGGUCCAGUACUGACACUCAAGUGCGAAAGCGUGGGGAGCAAACAGG
rnacentral:rRNA from 1 species